UCUGUCUGCCCGCAUGCCUGCCUCUCUGUUGCUCUGAAGGAGGCAGGGGCUGGGCCUGCAGCUGCCUGGGCAGAGCGGCUCCUGC
ensembl:miRNA MIR346 microRNA 346